CCUACGGGAGGCAGCAGUGGGGAAUAUUGCACAAUGGGGGAAACCCUGAUGCAGCGACGCCGCGUGAGUGAAGAAGUAUUUCGGUACGUAAAGCUCUAUCAACAGGGAAGAAAAUGACGGUACCUGACUAAGAAGCACCGGCUAACUACGUGCCAGCAGCCGCGGUAAUACGUAGGGGGCAAGCGUUAUCCGGAUUUACUGGGUGUAAAGGGAGCGUAGACGGCAGCGCAAGUCUGGAGUGAAAUCCCAUGGCUUAACCAUGGAACUGCUUUGGAAACUGUGCAGCUAGAGUGCAGGAGAGGUAAGCGGAAUUCCUAGUGUAGCGGUGAAAUGCGUAGAUAUUAGGAGGAACACCAGUGGCGAAGGCGGCUUACUGGACUGUAACUGACGUUGAGGCUCGAAAGCGUGGGGAGCAAACAGGAUUAGAUACCCCAGUAGUC
rnacentral:rRNA from 1 species